rnacentral:rRNA from 1 species
UACGUAGGGUGCGAGCGUUAAUCGGAAUUACUGGACGUAAAGCGUGCGCAGGCGGUUUUGUAAGCCAGAUGUGAAAGCCCCGGGCUUAACCUGGGAAUGGCAUUUGGGACUGCAAGGCUUGAGUGCGGCAGAGGAGACUGGAAUUCCUGGUGUAGCAGUGAAAUGCGUAGAUAUCAGGAGGAAUACCGAUGGCGAAGGCAGGUCUCUGGGCUGACACUGACGCUCAUGCACGAAAGCGUGGGGAGCAAACAGG